AGUGAACGCUGGCGGUAGGCCUAACACAUGCAAGUCGAACGGCAGCACAGUAAGAGCUUGCUCUUACGGGUGGCGAGUGGCGGACGGGUGAGGAAUACAUCGGAAUCUACUUUUUCGUGGGGGAUAACGUAGGGAAACUUACGCUAAUACCGCAUACGGCCUACGGGUGAAAGCAGGGGAUCUUCGGACCUUGCGCGAUUGAAUGAGCCGAUGUCGGAUUAGCUAGUUGGCGGGGUAAAGGCCCACCAAGGCGACGAUCCGUAGCUGGUCUGAGAGGAUGAUCAGCCACACUGGAACUGAGACACGGUCCAGACUCCUACGGGAGGCAGCAGUGGGGAAUAUUGGACAAUGGGCGCAAGCCUGAUCCAGCCAUACCGCAUGGGUGAAGAAGGCCUUCGGGUUGUAAAGCCCUUUUGUUGGGAAAGAAAAGCAGCAGGUUAAUACCCCGCUGUUCUGACGGUACCCAAAGAAUAAGCACCGGCUAACUUCGUG
rnacentral:rRNA from 1 species